rnacentral:rRNA from 1 species
GUCUUUAUGAUUUGAAUUUAUUUAAAGUCAGACCUGCCCAAUGAAGAUUUUUUAAUGGCUGCAGUAUUUUAACUGUACGAAGGUAGCACAAUCAUUUGUUUAGUAAUUUUAGACUAGUAUGAAGGGUUUUUUAAGAAAUAUUCUUUCUUGGUUUUAUAAAUUUGAAUUUAAUAUUACAGUUAAAAAGCUGUGAUGUUUUUAUAGGACGAGAAGACCCUAUAGAACUUAAUAGUUAAUAAAUUAAUAUUAAUUUAUUAACUAUUAUGUUGGGGAGAUAUACAUAUGUGUUUAACUGUGAGUUUGUUUAUUUCAUUGAUUUUUGUUUUUGAUCCAUUGUUUUUGAUUAUAAGAAUAAGUUACCUUAGGGAUAACAGCGUAAUUUAUUUGGAGAGUUCUUAUUGAUAAUUAAGUUUGCGA